GAGAACUGAACGGAUGAACCAUCAUGUCAUUUAAAGUGGAUUUUUGCAUGAAGGACGAGUGACUGAUUUGCAUUCUAACCUUGUCCUCCUGUGGAAAGAAAUAGCUUCACGAAAACAAUAUAAUUGCAAACACAACAAGUGUUUCAAGUUUACAGAAGAAGGAACAUCUCAAGCUGUGGUGAAAAUAUCUAAUGCAAGAUAACUUCUUUGUGCAGGAACUGUAAAGCUCUGGAAGACAAGCAACACAAAACAGGAACUGGGCUGAAACAUCAGCUUCUUUCAACAGAGGGUC